rnacentral:rRNA from 1 species
UACGUAGGGGCAAGCGUUGUCCGGAAUCAUUGGGCGUAAAGAGCGCGUAGGCGGUCCGGUAAGUCCGCUGUGAAAGUCAAGGGCUCAACCCUUGAAUGCCGGUGGAUACUGUCGGGCUAGAGUCCGGAAGAGGCGAGUGGAAUUCCUGGUGUAGCGGUGAAAUGCGCAGAUAUCAGGAGGAACACCAAUGGCGAAGGCAGCUCGCUGGGACGGUACUGACGCUGAGGCGCGAAAGCGUGGGUAGCAAACAGG